GGGCAAAAAGGCAGGAGAAAUAGGAAGCAGGUAGGACUUGGUGUUACGUUUAUGCACCAUGCUUGGUGACUUUAGUUUUCUUUUUUUGUGAGCUGCAUUAAACUGCUUGUUACGAUUUUGGGUUAAGUCUAGCUGGCAUCAGUUAUUUAACUGUUCCCUUUGGCCUCUGAAGAGAAAGAAUGGUAGAAAGAAUGGAACAUGAAUGCCGUUUGGUCAAAAGAUUCAGGUUCCUCUAAUGGCAGGACUCCAGAUGCUGAUACUGAGCUUUGGGCAGAAGUCUGGAAAAGGUGGCUAUGAAGAAGUUGAGAACUUAAACUAGGCAUGGUUCCUUCAGCAAAUUCUCACAGAUACUUGGGCUCAUGAAACAACCAAGAGUAAGAACCUUGAGACUGCUACCUCUUCAUCUUAGAGAUGAAGAAACUGAGGCUGCAUAUGGAAAGGCUGGAGGCUAGAGAGGUGACAUGAAGUCACUCAUCAAGUCAGGGCAAAGCUGGUGUUAUGACGCAUGGCUCCCUUACCAUGAUGACAUUAUAGCUGGCAUUAUAACUGCAGUCACAGUAGGGACUAGGAUACCUGCAGAGUUGUAGAGGCUGAUGAUAAAGUAGACAAGAGCACAGAUCACUGGGCUGCGCAGCAGAAAAUCUAGGUCAAAGUUGUUUCCCUGAGUCUUUCGACAAGUCACAAAUGCUCUAGAUAUCAGUUUUCUGAUUGACAGAUGACUAUAUAACAGCCCCCAUUGACCUCAAUGGACCAAAUGAAAUGUGGGUUGUGAAGAUGCUAUGACAACCAAAGGCAAUACAUGUGUAGGGCAUUACAGAAUACAAUUGGCCAUUCCUUCCCUAAGGAAUUCUCAACAAUUAUUCAGAGCUGCCAAAGCAUCUUAAUUCACUACCACCCAACAGAAGACAACAAAAUUAUCUGGCAACUCAGAUGAACCUGCAUCCCACACACAGUUUUAGUUAUGUGUGUGUUGAGAAGCUUGCUUUGAACUCAGCAAGUUGUAAACAUUUAUUUCAUUUAUUUAUUCAUGAACUCAUUUAUUGAAUAAUUGAAGCACAAAAAAUAGUAGACAUAGUGCCUGCCUUUCCCUCAAGGGAAAAACAAACAGAUAAAUAAAUGUGAUUUAUAUGGCAAGUGUUAUAUAUUAAGGACUUGGAAAGACUAAGAGAGGAGGUAAAGGGUUAGGAGGAGGUUUUAAGAAAGAAGUGGUCUUGAAGGUUGAGUAAUAUCGGGACCUGCUGAGAAGGUAAAGACAUGCUGAGAUUUUGACCAAGAGAGGAACCUUAAUAAAAUCAUGAGAAUGUGACAGUAAGAGGCACGUAUGGGAAAUAUUGUGCUGUCCAGUGAGACAGAGGGUAGAGAAUAUGGAGAGACUGUUGAGAAAUGGUUCUACACAGGCAAGGUAAGGUCAGUCACGAAAGUCCUUGAUUAGCAGCUAGGGAGAUUAGUAUUUUUCCAACAGACCUGGGAGGACACUAAUAUUUAUUCUAUAGCAACAUUCUUCCAGCUUAAAAUGAGGCAAGCUAAUUAAUUAAAUUUAUAAAUAAUUUGUACAAGUACAAGGAAAUGUAAGAAAACUACUAAUUCAACUAUCUGGAACUACGGUUAUAACCAUUAAGUGAACAUUGUUCUAGACUUUUCUCUAUCCUUACAUACAAAUAGAUUAAAAGAGAAAGAUACUUUUUAUAAAAACAGGAUUAUUUUCUGGUUCUGGCAACAAUUAUACAAAUAAAAAUAAAAUGUAAAUUAAUCUGGAAAAAAGAUCAUUUCUGGUAUGAUGGCAUGCCAGAAAUAAGACAAUUUAGGUUUAAGCAGUAAACUUAUGAAUGGAUGCUGUGAUGGUUUUGAAAGAUACUAGGUUGGAAAAAGGGAUUAGAGGCUGAAGUUUUAAUGCCCAUGUAGACAUGGGAAAUAUGGCAUUGGGCCUGACUGAGGCAGGCAGCUGGAACACAGAUCCCUAUUUAAACUGGGACCCUGGAAAUGAAAAGUUAUUCCCUUGGUAAAAGGAGACUAGCAAAAAAAAUUACUCACUGGCUCAGGUAGUGUGACUAGAAAAUUUGUUACUUUUUGGUACUCUGGAUGGGAAAAUAUGAGGGAAAUGAAAGCUCCUGGUCACCAAGAGUAGAUAUAAAGUUGACAUUUACAUUCUCAAUUUAAUGCUGGAAUAUUUAAGCUGAGAAACUAACAUAAAAACUAUUCCAGACAAAAGCAAAAGUUAAAUAAUUCUAUAGCAAGACUUUUACACUCCAGGAUGUGCAGGUAUUCUGGGGGAAAAUGGAGGGAAACAAGUAAAACCUGUAAAUUCCAUGGGGAAAUAAUCUAUAAUGAGAGUCAGCAGACUGUAUGAGUAGGAAGGCUAGUAUUCCCACAAACUUGAAAUAAUAGCACAAUCUGAGAAAGACUAUACAAUAACCAUGCUUCAAAUGG
rnacentral:lncRNA from 1 species